rnacentral:lncRNA from 1 species
GUUCAUGAUAGAGUCUGGCCAACGAAAGCUGACCACGAAUUAAUUUCUAAACUUUUAAUAUGGCAACAUUUUAGAACUGUCAAAAUUGUCCCAUUGACGUUUCUUAAAAAGUCAGUUUGUUAUUUUAUUUCAUCUUCUUUUCAUUAGUUUUGUAUAAAAUAAUGCCGAAAACAAUCCAAAGUUCGACGAGAAAGCUUCUAUUUACUAUGAUUGACAAAUAUAAAGACGUACAAAGUGAUUUGAAUCAGAAAUUUGCAGAGAAAAUACGACGACUGGAUUCAGUCAUUUCACUUUUAGAUAAUAUUAACGAGGACAACGACUACGAGGAAACAAAACUAACAAUUGCGGAAACAGUAAAGAAAUUGGAAACUCUCGAAAGUAAUGAAAUGUUUGCGAGUGAAACACAGUACUUAGAAAAAAAUCCAUCAAAUAAACGUUUUGUAAUAA